AUUGAACGCUGGCGGCAGGCCUAACACAUGCAAGUCGAACGAGUGGCGGACGGGUGAGUAAUGUAUGGGGAUCUGCCCGAUGGAGGGGGAUAACUACUGGAAACGGUAGCUAAUACCGCAUACCAUCGGAUGAACCCAUAUGGGAUUAGGUAGUAGGUGGGGUAAAGGCUCACCUAGGCGACGAUCUCUAGCUGGUCUGAGAGGAUGACCAGCCACACUGGGACUGAGACACGGCCCAGACUCCUACGGGAGGCAGCAGUGGGGAAUAUUGCACAAUGGGCGCAAGCCUGAUGCAGCCAGGCCGCGUGUAUGAAGAAGGCCUUAGGGUUGUAAAGUACUUUCAGCGGGGAGGCGUUACCUGCAGAAGAAGCACCGGCUAACUCCGUGCCAGCAGCCGCGGUAAUAC
rnacentral:rRNA from 1 species